rnacentral:lncRNA from 1 species
AUGAUUUAACUGAACACCACUAGUUUAUUAGGGUGCACGACAUUUAAGGCCCAAUGCACAUUCACGAAAGGCCAAGUAUGUUAUUUAGAUCUUCUAUUUAAUGCAAGUAGCAGAACAUUUGCAAGGUCGCAUAUAUGAACUGAAUGUGUUUUGAGUAUCUUUUCACUUUAUUCUCAACAAGCAGCAACAACAGCACACCUCUCACCCUCAUUGCCUGCUUUCUUUUGCCUCCUUGUGCUCUCUCUCUCUCUCUCGAUCUGUUGCCUCGCCUCCUCCCCUCUUGCCCUCCCGUGUCCAUCCAUGCCCUGGGCAUCCCUCCCUCCCACUCCACCCACCCACUCUCUCACCUCCCUCACUGCGUUUCUAGCCUGUCACCUCAACAUAGUCUGAAAAGGUGACAUUACAUUAGGUGAUUGGUUGAUAGUUUCAUCAAUCCAUUAACAAAUUGCC